rnacentral:lncRNA from 1 species
UUCUUAGACAAUUAGGAUCCAUCAAAGGCCUUAAAUUACUUACACUCCUUGGAUUUCUAGUAAAUCUUUGUGUCGAUGCAAGUAGAUUAGAGACAACUGUAUCUUGAUUAUUAGUAGAUGAGUCUUUAAGUCGUAUUUUCCUUAAAAACACUUUUUGUUAACACCAACGAAAUUAGAGUAGAGUCGAGUAGACACUUGCUAGAAUGUCUCGAAGAUUUUAUGGGUAUAUCUUCUGUAAACCCUUAGGAGACAAAACUCCUCUUGUAGAGAUCGUCUACGAGUUUAACGGGUUGGUGAACCUAAAAUCACCCGUCACGCCUACGAAAAGGAGCCUAGGAAUCGC